GGAAGGAUCUAUUACUUGCAGCAAGUAAGGAGAACACCGGGGAUCUUUCCCAAAGCAGUGUCUCCCUGAAUAGUAAAAUUGGGGAAUUUUUAAGCUAAGGGUCCAUGCAUAUUCAUGAAGGGGCUUGGAGAAUUCUGCAUAGAAUUGGGAAA